CUAGCGACUUCAGAGUUUGAUCCUGGCUCAGGAUGAACGCUGGCGGCGUGCUUAACACAUGCAAGUCGAACGAGCUGCACGGACGGAAGUUUUCGGAUGGAAGACCGUGUACGCGAGUGGCGGACGGGUGAGUAACGCGUGGGGAACCUGCCCUGUUCCGGGGGAUACCAGUUGGAAACGACUGUUAAUACCGCAUAAGCGCACGGUACCGCAUGGUACAGUGUGAAAAACUCCGGUGGAACGGGAUGGCCCUGCGUCUGAUUAGGCAGUUGGCGGGGUAACGGCCCACCAAACCGACGAUCAGUAGCCGACCUGAGAGGGUGACCGGCCACAUUGGGACUGAGACACAGCCCAA
rnacentral:rRNA from 1 species